UUUUCAUCAUCCCACCCUGUCUUUACAUGACACAUUGUUAAUGCAUGUCAUUCUACUGCUGAAUUCCCAUAUGAAAUGUCCCACUAAUAAUGUGUACCUGAGACUUGGAGGUGUGAAAUUAAGAGAACAGUAUCAUAGUACUUAGCUCCCUAUCAAACAAAGCCUGCGAUGUGCAAAAAGUCACUGGACUGUCACCGGGCUGAACACUGCUAUGACCGGCAAGACAAAACACCAGUGGGGAUUUCUGCGCGGUAAAUGGAAUGACGAUGAGAAGGAAAACAAUAGCAAAACGAAUAAUCGACUGCAAAUAUGAAGAACAGCAUCGGAUUUAUGAUGAAAGUGCCACUGAGCUUUCGCGGAUCACCGUUCCAUGUCAGAGGCAGCGAAAGAGAAGAAAACAAAUGUCGGUAUCCAAAGAGAGCGGAGAAGAAAAUUCACAGAGUCUUAAGGUGGACAACUCCAUAGCAGGGUUUCCAGGUGAUGGAGAUAACGUGAUGGAGAUACUGGGAGGACUCCAGUCUUGCUCCAGAGCAGAUCUCAUCACCAUGGUGCUGAGCAUGCACAGAGAGAUGGACAGCCUCAGAGAACAAAUCCGAUGCCUCACAGCUUGUGGAAAAUUGGCACAAAACCUUGAAAGCUUGGUGGAGACAACUGACUACUGGUUGAGUAACACCACAAGAACGACAUCACCCGGACUACCAAAAGCAUUUGAGGGCAGUGAGGUUCCUGCUGUGUACACAAACUCAAUUGUGGCAAAUGGGACGCAGAGCAAAACGGAGACAGCGAAUCAUCAUCAAGGAGUUCUCAUAGUAGCCAAUGAUGGGGCCCCAGAGGAAAACACUCCUCCUCUUUUCCAAGAUUUUAUUACAGCUGACGUCCUUGAGCACUGCAACACUGGAACCACAGCUCAGAAACUGACCAACGAUCUUCUGCGCGGACUUUAUGAGAGGGACUGCAUGGCUUCACAUUCAAUCUCAGGCAUCGUCAACAACAAGCGGGGCCAGCCGAAGCCUGCCCUGCCAGCACACGAGGUCCAGGCCAUACUGAGGGCAGUACAGCACUUUUUCCCAGGGAAGACCGACUCAGAAAUCAAGGGCUACAUCCGGCAGAAGCUGCAGAAUGAAGCCAAGCAACUACGAAAGAAACAUCACCCAGCAACCGCAGGUCACCCAGCAACCGCAGGUCAUCCAGCAUCCGAUGGAGGAACGGGAUCAGAGACUUCCAACGCAUAGAAAGAUGCCUCGCUCUAUGGCAUAGUGGGCUCAUAGGGCCUCCUCAGACAGAGUUAAAAGAGUUAUAGCUUAAAGCUAAGAGUUAUAGCUAAGAGCUAAGAGUUAUAGUCAUAGCUAAGAGUUAUAGCUAAGAGCUAAGAGUUAUAGUUAUAGCUAAGAGCUACGAGCUAAUAGUUAUAGCUAAGAGUUAUAGUUAUAGCUAAGAGCUAAGAGCUAAGAGUUAUAGUUAUAGCUAAGAGUUAAGAGUUAUAGUUAUAGAAUAGCACCGAGAGAGACAGGGGCUCAGAGGAGUCUUGGUAUUUUGUAUUAGUUUCUUGAGGACCACCUGAGAGUCAGAGGUGAUGCCUACAGUACCUUAGUAAAGUGGACCAAGUAAUUAGAGAAAGUUUGUGGAGGAGUAGCCACCUGUCAUGUGUAUCCAAAAUUAGAGUUGUGUAUUGCAGGUUCUGAAAGCAAAGGCUUUCUUAAGUAUUUGGUGUUAUGGUUGAACUAAGUAACUCAAGUGAUUGGUGAAACAGCUGACCAUUCAUUUGAAAAAAUAAACAAAACACAUUUUCACGUUCUUUUUCA
ensembl:lncRNA